UUUAUGAUAUGUUAAUGAUAUUUGACUUCUCUCCUGUUUCUGUUCCAGAGAAGCAUUGCAUACCUGUUCCCCUCCGGCCUAUUUGACAAAAAAGCCAAACCACUGAUGAAGCAUCCGGAUGAGGUGUUUCCAAAACAGAGAGCUGUCCAAUGGGGCGCAGAUGGACGGCCAUUCCACUUUCUGUUCUACACAGGAAAGCAGUCCUACUACUCUCUAAUGCACGUGAGUACUGGGUGUAUGAGUGAGAAAGACUGAG